UACGGGGAGUGCAAGCGUUGUUCGGAAUCAUUGGGCGUAAAGCGCGUGUAGGCGGCUCAGCAAGUCCGGUGUGAAAGCCCUCGGCUUAACCGAGGAAGUGCAUUGGAAACUGCGGAGCUUGAGUGCUGGAGAGGGUAGCGGAAUUCCCAGUGUAGAGGUGAAAUUCGUAGAUAUUGGGAGGAACAUCGGUGGCGAAGGCGGCUACCUGGACAGCAACUGACGCUGAGACGCGAAAGCGUGGGGAGCAAACAGG
rnacentral:rRNA from 1 species